UACGAAGGGGGCUAGCGUUGUUCGGAAUUACUGGGCGUAAAGGGCGCGUAGGCGGUGUGUCAAGUCAGGCGUGAAAGCCCCGGGCUCAACCUGGGAACCGCGCUUGAGACUGGAACGCUAGAGUUCGGGAGAGGAUGGUGGAAUUCCCAGUGUAGAGGUGAAAUUCGUAGAUAUUGGGAAGAACACCGAUGGCGAAGGCAGCCAUCUGGACCGACACUGACGCUGAGGCGCGAAAGCGUGGGGAGCAAACAGG
rnacentral:rRNA from 1 species